AUUGAACGCUGGCGGAAUGCUUUACACAUGCAAGUCGAACGGUAGAGGGGGCAACCCCUUGAGAGUGGCGAACGGGUGAGUAAUAUAUCGGAACGUGCCCAGUCGUGGGGAUAACGUAGCGAAAGUUACGCUAAUACCGCAUACGAUCUAAGGAUGAAAGCGGGGGAUCGCAAGACCUCGCGCGAUUGGAGCGGCCGAUAUCAGAUUAGGUAGUUGGUGAGGUAAAGGCUCACCAAGCCAACGAUCUGUAGCUGGUCUGAGAGGACGACCAGCCACACUGGAACUGAGACACGGUCCAGACUCCUACGGGAGGCAGCAGUGGGGAAUUUUGGACAAUGGACGCAAGUCUGAUCCAGCCAUUCCGCGUGCAGGAUGAAGGCCCUCGGGUUGUAAACUGCUUUUGUACGGAACGAAAAGGUUUCUAUUAGUACUAGGAGCUCAUGACGGUACCGUAAGAAUAAGCACCGGCUAACUACGUGCCAGCAGCCGCGGUAAA
rnacentral:rRNA from 1 species